GAUUGCAUUAAUUUCUUCUCUGCAAUCGCGGCUG
ncrna:Bacteroides reticulotermitis JCM 10512 S4-Bacteroidia ribosomal protein leader